GUGGUUGCGCUGCGUCACGCCAGGUUGGCUACGUCGCGCCAGGCGUAUGUCCGUCGCCCUACAGUUCAACGUCGCGCAGCUGCCGCAGCUGGAGUAGCGCAUGCGCAGAAGACCGUGCCGCCUGUGGUGGAACGUCGAAACAAAUCUAUUCGCGCGCUAUCUCAGUCGGUAGCGAUCACCACCGCGGACCGGACUGUUUUCUCGGCGAUGGCGCGGACACAAGACACAUGCCGCAAGACGAAAGAUUAUUCUCGCGUUGUUGGUGCGUCGUCUGCGUCGCAAGAGUAACAGGUCUCUCUACAUAAGGGAUAUAUUUGACAAGCGUCCAGAGUAUGGAGAAUACCACCACCUAGUACAGGAGCUUCGGCACAGUGAUCCUGAAUAUCAUUUCAAGUACUUCAGGAUGACAAAGGCAUCAUUCAACAAGCUGCUGAGCCUUGUUUACCACAGGCUUGUUCAUCCUCCAACUCACAGGAGACCCAUCUCACCGGCAGAGAGGCUCGGGGUGACAUUGAGAUUUCUGGUCACAGGAGGGUCCAUGGAGGACAUUGCAUUGAGCUACCGAAUGCAUGCUUCUACUGUAGCUAGCAUACUGAAGGAGCAUUACCAGCGAUCUGGGACUGCUUGAGGCCCCUGGUACUCGCACGCCCAAGCACACAGAGGUGGCGCGACAUAGCUAAGGAAUACCAUGACAAAUGGGAUUUUCCAAACACAGUAGGGAGCAUUGAUGGCAAGCAUUUUGCGAUCAAAUGUCCUAACAAGAGUGGCUCCGACUUUUACAAUUUUAAAGGUUUCUAUUCACUAAGUAUGCUGGCUAUAGCAGACGCCAAAUAUAGAUUUCUAAUGGUGGACAUCGUAGCCCAAGGCCGAUAUUCAGACGGUUCUUUCUUUAAGAGGAGUCGCCUCCAGGCAGUUUUUGAAAAGGGUGCUUUGGGGCUGCCAUCAAAUAUUUCGGAGUGGCCACUUUGUUUGGUUGGCGAUGCAGCCUUCCCU
rnacentral:lncRNA from 1 species